CCUACGGGUGGCAGCAGUCGAGAAUCAUUCACAAUGGGGGAAACCCUGAUGGUGCGACGCCGCGUGGGGGAAUGAAGGUCUUCGGAUUGUAAACCCCUGUCAUGUGGGAGCAAAUUAAAAAGAUAGUACCACAAGAGGAAGAGACGGCUAACUCUGUGCCAGCAGCCGCGGUAAUACAGAGGUCGCAAGCGUUGUUCGGAAUCACUGGGCGUAAAGCGUGCGUAGGCUGUUUCGUAAGUCGUGUGUGAAAGGCGCGGGCUCAACCCGCGGACGGCACAUGAUACUGCGAGACUAGAGUGAUGGAGAGGGGACCGGAAUUCUCGGUGUAGCAGUGAAAUGCGUAGAUAUCGAGAGGAACACUCGUGGCGAAGGCGGGUUCCUGGACAUUAACUGACGCUGAGGCACGAAGGCCAGGGGAGCGAAAGGGAUUAGAUACCCCAGUAGUC
rnacentral:rRNA from 1 species